rnacentral:rRNA from 1 species
AGAAUCAACGCUGGCGGCGUGCCUAACACAUGCAAGUCGCACGAGAAAGGGUAGCAAUACCUGAGUACAGUGGCGCACGGGUGAGUAACACGUGAAUUAUCUACCUCCGAGUGGGGAAUAACUGAGAGAAAUCUUAGCUAAUACCGCAUAACACUUACGAGUCAAAGCAGCAAUGCGCUUGGAGAGGAGUUCGCGGCAGAUUAGUUAGUUGGCGGGGUAAUGGCCCACCAAGACGAUGAUCUGUAUCCGGCCUGAGAGGGCGCACGGACACACUGGAACUGAAACACGGUCCAGACUCCUACGGGAGGCAGCAGUGGGGAAUUUUGCGCAAUGGGGGAAACCCUGACGCAGCAACGCCGCGUGGAGGAUGAAUAUCUUGGUAUGUAAACUCCUUUCGAUGGGGAAGAUUAUGACGGUACCCAUAGAAGAAGCCCGGCUAACUUCGUGCCAGCAGCCGCGGUAA